GGGAACGGUGGGCGGUAGACGGGUGUAAAACGAAGGGUGGAAGGGUGAAACGGAAUGAGGGGGCGGAAAGGGUGCGUGGGCGGUUAUUUAAGCCUGCCGUGAAAGCCCCGGGCUCAACCGGGGAAUGGCGGUGGAUAGUGGAUAGCGAGAGUGUGUCAGAGGAUGGUGGAAUUCCCGGUGUAGCGGUGAAAUGCGUAGAGAUCGGGAGGAACAUCAGUGGCGAAGGCGGCCAUCUGGGACAACACUGACGCUGAAGCACGAAAGCGUGGGGAGCAAACAGGAUUAGAUACCCCUGUAGUC
rnacentral:rRNA from 1 species